rnacentral:lncRNA from 1 species
UGCCAGUCUCCUCCCCUCUGUUUCAUCAGUGAAACAGAGGGAAGAAUACCCCACAGAGGGGUACCUCGACCCUGUCCUUGCCUAGAGACCUACUUACAGAGCCUUACCUUGAUUCGGUUGACUGGAGUUGGGCAGUAUCUCCUUCUCGGCAAACUCCCUCCUUCCUCUCCUAGGGCUACAGGGUCCCUUCCGCCUCCAGCUCCAAGGCUUGGCUCUCUGGUGCAGUAGAUCCAGAGGGUUAGAGGUUUAGGGAGGGUACAUUCAAUUCGGGUUAGCAAAUCUUAGGGGUUUUAAAUACAGGGCUUAUGACUUGACCCCAAAGGAGAGGUGGCGUUCUCUCCUUCCUCACUGCUCCGGGAGCCACCAGCUGCCCCUCCUCCUCAGGCCAGCUCACAGCUCAUUUGCCGAGGGGUAGGAGGUGGCGGGCUCCUGUUUUGCAUGCCGGUGGGGGUUUCUCCGUUGGCCAUC